CCUACGGGAGGCAGCAGUGAGGAAUAUUGGUCAAUGGGCGUAAGCCUGAACCAGCCAAGUCGCGUGAGGGAUGAAGGUUCUAUGGAUCGUAAACCUCUUUUAUAAGGGAAUAAAGUGCGGGACGUGUCCCGUUUUGUAUGUACCUUAUGAAUAAGUAUCGGCUAACUCCGUGCCAGCAGCCGCGGUAAGACGGAGGAUCCGAGCGUUAUCCGGAUUUCUUGGGUUUAAAGGGUGCGUAGGCGGCCUUUUAAGUCAGCGGUGAAAGUCUGUGGCUCAACCAUUGAAUUGCAGUUGAAACUGGGAGGCUUGAGUAUGUAUGAGGAAGGCGGAAUGCGUGGUGUAGCGGUGAAAUGCUUAGAUAUCAUGCAGAACCCCGAUUGCGAAGGCAGCUUGCCAAGCCAUGACUGACGCUGAUGCACGAAAGAGUGGGGAUCAAACAGGAUUAGAUACCCGUGUAGUC
rnacentral:rRNA from 1 species